GAUGAACGCUGGCGGCGUGUCUAAGGCAUGCAAGUCGAACGAGAUCUUCGGAUCUAGUGGCAAACGGGAGAGUAACACAUUGGUAUCCACCCUCAAGUCGAGCAUAAUUCGGAGAAAUCCGGACUAAUACUCGAUAGUCUCUACGGAGUAAAGUUUUUCGCUUGAGGAGGAGCCUAUGUACCAUCAGCUUGUUGGUGAGGUAAAAGCUCACCAAGGCAACGACGGUUAGCGGGCGUGAGAGCGUGACCCGCCUCACUGGGACUGAGACACUGCCCAGACUCCUACGGGAGGCUGCAGUCAAGAAUCUUCCACAAUGGGCGAAAGCCUGAUGGAGCGACGCCGCGUGCAGGAGGAAGCCCUUCGGGGUGUAAACUGCUUUUAUCAAGGACGAAUUCGUGACGGUACUUGAUGAAUAAGGGGCUGCUAAACUCG
rnacentral:rRNA from 1 species